CGCGUAGGCGGAUCAGUCAGUCAGAGGUGAAAUCCCGGGGCUCAACCUCGGAACUGCCUUUGAUACUGCUGAUCUGGAGUCCGGGAGAGGUGUAUGGAAUUCCGAGUGUAGAGGUGAAAUUCGUAGAUAUUCGGAGGAACACCAGAGGCGAAGGCGAUACACUGGCCCGGUACUGACGCUGAGGUGCGAAAGCGUGGGGAGCAAACA
rnacentral:rRNA from 1 species